AGGCAGUGUACUGUUAGCUGGUGUCAGUUUUUUCAACCAGCUAACAUGCAGCUGCUAUC
rnacentral:pre_miRNA from 1 species